GGAUGUGGCUCAAGCGGUAGGGCGCUCGCAUGUCAUGCGUGUGGCCUGGGUUCGAUCCUCAGCACCA
rnacentral:tRNA from 1 species